UUUGAUAUCUCUAAGACUCAACGCAUGAUAGCAUGUAGAGACUAACAUCGUAUUCUGCACCCUUUGUCAAUCGCGGCCAACAAGCCCGUUGACAUGCAGAGAUUUACGUCAUCUUCCGCACAGACAACCUCUGUCAGUACUAACCCGUGAAGUUAGGGGGCAGGCAGAAAUACCCAAGUGGUUAUUCGUAUAAACAUUCUUUUGCUAUCCAUCAGACCCAGAGCACGAUAGCAUGCUGAGACUAACAUCGUCUUCUGCACCUUUUGUCGUCCUGACCCGUGAAGUCAGGUGACAUGCGGGGAACCUUAUGGUCCCGCACCUUUUGCCAACCAGGGGUAAACGAGCCCGUUGACGUGCAGAGACUAACAUCGUUUCCUGCACCUUUUGUCAUCCUGACCCGUGAAGUCAGGUGACAUGCGGGGCAACCUUAUGGUCCCGCACCUUUUGUCAACCAGAGGCAAGCGAGCACAUUGACAUGCGGGGAACCAUUUGGUCUCAUACUUUUUUCACAUUUUGUCAUCCAGAGGCGGCGGGCCCGAUGACAUGCGAGGGAACCAUUUGGUCCCGCAUCUUUUUUUUCACUAUCCAGAGACAAUCAAGUCCGGAGCCCCGUGAAUUGAUUGCCCAGCGCUGUUCAUCCAUCCUCCACCAUCAAGUCCGAAGCCCCAUGAAUUGAUUGCCUAGCGCUGUUCAUGCCUCCUCCAUCAUUGAGUCCGGAGCCCCAUGAAUUGAUUGCCUAGCGCUGUUCAUGCAUCCUCCACCAUCAAGUCCAGAGUCCCACGAAUUGAUUUCCUAGCGCUGUUCGUGCAUCCUAAAUCAUCAAGUCCGGAGCCCCAUGAAUUGAUUGCCUAGCGUUGUUCAUGCAUCCUCCACCAUCAAGUCCGGAGCCCCACGAAUUGAUUGCCUAGCGCUGUUCAUGCAUCCUCCACCAUCAAGUCCGGAGCCCCAGGAAUUGAUUGCAUAGCACUGUUCGUGCAUCAUCCACCAUCAAGUCCGGAGCCCCAUGAAUUGAUUGCCUAGCGCUGUUCAUGCAUCAUCCACCAUUGAGUCUGGAGCCCCAUGAAUUGAUUGCCAUUCAUGCAUCCUCCACCAUCGAGUCCGGAGCCCCACGAAUUGAUUGCCUAGCGCUGUUCGUGCAUCCUCCACCAUCAAAUCUUAUUCGGAGCCCCAUGAAUUGAUUGCCAUUCAUGCAUCCUCCACCAUCGAGUCCGGAGCCCCACGAAUUGAUUGCCUAGCGCUGUUCGUGCAUCCUCCACCAUCAAAUCUUAUUCGGAGCCCCAUGAAUUGAUUGUCAUUCAUGCAUCCUCCACCAUCGAGUCCGGAGCCCCACGAAUUGAUUGCCUAAUGUUGUUCGUGCAUCCUCCACCAUCAAGUCUUAUUCGUAGCCCCAUGAAUUGAUUGCCAUUCAUGCAUCCUCCACCAUCGAGUCCGGAGCCCCACGAAUUGAUUGCCUAGCGCUACUCGUGCAUCCUCCACCAUCAAAUCUUAUUCGGAGCCCCUUGAAUUGAUUGCCAUUCAUGCAUCCUCCACCAUUGAGACCGGAACCCUAUGAAUUGAUUGCCUAGCGCUGUUCAUGCAUCCCCCACCAUCAAGUCUGGAGCCCCAUGAAUUGAUUGCCAUUCAUGCAUCCUCCACCAUCAAGUCCGGAGCCCUACGAAUUGAUUGCCUAGCGCUGUUCGUGCAUCCUCCACCAUCAAAUCUGAGUCUGGAGCCCCACGAAUUGAUUUCCUAGCGUUGUUCGUGCAUCCUCCAUCAUCGAGUCCGAAGUCCCACGAAUUGAUUGCCUAACACUGUUCAUGCGUCCUCUGUUAUCAAGUAUGGAGCCUCCGGUGAGGGGAAAAUAUGGUUGUUUUUAUUCUCCCAUUCGGUUCCUUCAACAAACAUGUCUAUACGUGUAUAUUAUGUUAUUUUUUUUUUGUUUGUUUUGUUUUGUGUUGUGUAGAGAAAGAAGAAGGAGAUACGAGAGUCAAUUAUUUCAAAUCGUUUUGGUUGGAACUAUUGUGAUUGAGAUCAAUUAAAUCCCCAUGAUGGGCAAAGGAUGGCCUUCGGGAAUCAUCAUAGAUUAAUUACGGAAAAGGCUAAGACGGACGAAAUUAGUGUCUUAUCUUUA
rnacentral:lncRNA from 1 species